CUGCUCAUGAGUGUGUGUGUGUGUGUUCUCUCUCUCAAAAAUAAGAGACAUUUAAAAAAAAUAAGUAAAAUAAAAAGAAGUCCUGAGUCUAAAAAGAAGACCCACCACCUGGUGCCUCUCAUUUGGUUAUGUGGUGACUGAGUGUUUUCCAGUUUCAUACGUAUAAGUCUAUUUUACUCACCGGAGUAAACGGCACUUGGAGAGAGGUAUGGUCAGCUACCUCUGUGUCCACCAAAGGGCAUACUGAAGCUCGGACCCGCAGGAGGGAAGCAGGGAGCGUGUGUGGGCAAACAGGCCAAACCGAGCGGCAGCACACUGUUCCUCCAUUAGCUUCACGCAGCAAACUGAGAAGCCCAGAGAGAAAGGAAAACACAUUCUGGACGGCCUUUGUUUAUUGUUCCUCGCAGAGCAGCUCGGAGCUUACCCAGAGGAGCCUGCUGGGAGUGAGAUCGUCAGCAGACCUUAAGCUUCAGCGAGGUGGAAGGCAAUCCCCAUGGCGACCACUCUGUCGGCGCCCCCCCGGGCUGCGCAGGUGCAGCACCUGUAGUAGGCGUGGCCACAUGAGCCCGUGAGUAAGGACCCUUCAUCCCGUGCCAGCCACCGGAUAGGAGCCAGGCCAUGGUAGGUCCUGCUGCCUGCUUAAGCUCUUCUGCAUCUCGUGCUGCUGCAUGAAUUUCCCUGCAAAGAUCACCAUGUGGUUCGUACAUGUGGGUCCACGGUCAGGUGACGGCUGGGUAAACAGCGCUGGCAUUUUCCCAUGAGCUGCAAACGUUCAGAGCUCGGCGGUGGAAUCUGCACAUGCCUGGCAUGCGUUUGCCCCUCCUCUGCGGCCCCUUUCCCAAACACCCCGACUCCCCCG
rnacentral:lncRNA from 1 species